AUACGGAGGGUGCAAGCGUUAAUCGGAAUUACUGGGCGUAAAGCGCGCGUAGGCGGUUUUGUAAGUCGGAUGUGAAAGCCCAGGGCUCAACCUUGGAAUUGCAUUCGAAACUGCAUGACUAGAGUAUGGUAGAGGGAAGUGGAAUUCCAGGUGUAGCGGUGAAAUGCGUAGAUAUCUGGAGGAACAUCAGUGGCGAAGGCGACUUCCUGGACCAAUACUGACGCUGAGGUGCGAAAGCGUGGGGAGCAAACAGGAUUAGAAACCCUAGUAGUCC
rnacentral:rRNA from 1 species